rnacentral:lncRNA from 1 species
UGGUUGUUGUUUGUGGUUUACGGGUUUAAUGUUUAUGGUUUAAGGUUUAAGAUUUUCGGUUAAUGUUUACGAUAUAGUGUGGAUUGGAUUUUGGGGUUUGGUGGUUUGGUGUGUUAUGGUUAAUUGACGAGUUUAGGAUUUAAGGUUUACAGUUUGGGGUUUGGGGUUUAUAGUUUAUAGUUUGGGGUUUAAGAUUUACGGUUAAGGAUUACAAUAUAGUGGGGAUUGGAUUUUGGGGUUUGAUGGUUUGGUAUUUU